UAUAAAAAAUAAAAACCAAGAAAGCAAAGAAGUCCGGAUCUUGGUCAUUGAGUGGAAUCCAGUCUGCAGUUUGAACCUCACAAAAGUCAGACCCUUGACAACGACUGUUGGGCAGCGAUGCUGAGAGACUCAUAUUAAACCAUCAUACGCACAUUCAGCCACUGAAGCCCAAUUUAGUUCAAAUGAAACUACUGAGGGGUCAUUACUUAUGCUUUUAUUUUGAAACAUUGACGGCAAUGUUUGGCAGAGACGACUUGGUGUGUUACGCUCGGAGGGGCGUGGCCUGUUAACGGCUUGUCACGGUUUACAGUGGACUAAAUGUUAAUGUACUAUGAGGUAUUUGAUAAGGUAUGACGGUGGGAUACUGGUCCCUUUAUGUGUUUGGGGAAGGCUAAUUAAAGAACUCAAGCAGGGACGUUUAUGUGUAGUUUUCCAGGACUACUUUGCAAAUAAUACUUAAAUACUAUAGUAGUAGUAUCAUUUAAACUUGAAAUGUGUACUUUACAGUGCAUGGCGUUCGGCCCGAUAGCGGAAAAGAACCUGGAAUCAUCCGUCUCUAGCUGAUCAAAAAGUGUGAACGUUCAUUUCUUGUCCUUGGCUUUGUAUAUUAAUAAUGUGUGAACACAACGUGAGUUCUUCCAUGUGUACAAACUUAAAUGCUUUGAGGCAACGGGCUUCCGCUCAAUGUUCCAGUGAAGUCAGCUAGUUCAGGCUGAGCGUGUACCCGAGCUAUUUAUGUUAAUUGCUCUUUCCUUGUGUUCCGCUCAUGCAUGUGGAUACAGGCCCCCCGUCGGGUGUAACCAGCUGGAAACUGCAGCUCUUCUGCACCGGUCGCCUGUUUACUGUAAAGUGCUGGUGACCAGGGUUUAUCUCCAGUGGCUGGUUGGAGUGCAGCUGAUUCCGUGUUGAACCCAGAGAACACGUGGACCUGAUGUGAUGGAUAGAAACGUCUUUAAGGUAAAGCCGCUAGGAUUCAUCCAGAUCGUGUUCCUCUACAAUAAGAUGUUUUCUCUUAAGUGACCAACGGAGCGUCAGGAGCUCAUUCUGUUCCGUGGAAUCCAUCCGGCCUGAUUCCACGGUAAUCCAUCCUGCAGAUGUGGUUUCCAGUCACGGCUCGAUUAGGAGACACAGGAGCUCACGUACGGAGGAGAAAGAAAAACUGUGGUUAUUGUUCAGUCUCCUCUGUGCUUUGCUUUAGUGUUGUCAUGCAUCUGUCUGCGCGGCCAUUCUGUGUCUCUUUGUAGUCAUUAUAUGUCUCUUCGUAGUGACUCAUUGUCUCUUUGUGGCCACAAUGUGUCUAUUUGUAGUCAUUCUUUGUCUUUUUGUUGUUCUUUUCUGUGUCUCUUUGCAGUGAUUAUUUGUCUCUCGGUAGUCGUUCAUUGUCUUUGUCUUUCUACUACUACUUGGAGUCCCUCUUGCUUCGUCCUUUUCUGUGUCUGAGGUUGUUUGCAUAUCGUUUGUAAGGUUUUGGGGGUCUUUAAUCUGUAAACUUGAUCAUUAUAAUCAACACACACCAGGAUUUCUUUUAAAGCACAUUUUUACAGCUUUAACAGUCUCACUGCACAAGGACUCGCAUGUCCAGGAGCACUUGUCCUACAUUAGCCACUACAAGGACUCCCUGCUGAGGCCGUGCCGGAGUCCCACGCGGAAGCCUGAGAUUUGUGCUUCAGUGCUUUAUUCGUUGUAAAGGACCAAUUAGACCGAAAACUGUAACAGUUUGAAGCGACACUUUGCUGCUCCUCGCAGACGAGUCCUCCUAGAAAAAUCCGUCUUUCAAUUUACUUUGACGUAUUUCUCUUGAGGCUGUUAUGAAGAACGGCGCAGUGAGUUAAAUCCAUCGUCGCGUCGGCAACCGAUGAUCUCAUGAGGGCAGAGAGACGCAAGGUGUCCCGUGAAGACGUGUUGACGGGCGGUUUGGUUCAUAUUUUGUUUAAAUUACACCAGACGAGGAGUUUGGGGAAUAAAUGUUUCUCUGCAGGAACCGAUAACGACACAGAGAAAUCUCAACCAGGAGUAAAAGAGACAGAUGUCAUAGAGAAAUACGGGAGACAAAAAGUGGUUUUUGGGGGUAAUUCCUGUUCUCCUAAGUGAGAGCAUUGCCCAGGGGGCACAACUGGGCUGCCCUGAUACCCGCGCACAGCUGGACGUUAACGGUUUCCAGGGUUCUACACAGGGAGUGAAGGAACCGUCCCAGUGAUCGAUACAUCACUAAAGAUCAAAGAAUACGAAGAAGUCCAGCACGUGAAUACAGAUGUUUAUGUAAGAACUCUUCUCCCGCCCUUUCCAAUGAAUCAUCUCUCGACUCCUCCGGACUCACAUAAAGCGUUUAAAACCAGCUCCACCCAAAGCAGCUUUGAGGGCAACUUUAGUCUGACGAACGCAGGAUGCCGGCCGUCAGCUCCUCGUCAGAUGAUGUCUUUGUGAUGUGAUGGAGUGCAACUUCUGACUGAAGUCGUGAGGUAAUACGGGGUAAUCUGUGGCGGCGCGAAGCGUUUGAUCAGUCGGCCUCUUGUCUGCUCCGGCUGUUUGAGGUCGACUCGAUGCGUCAGCGCGCCGACAAGGUCGAUUACAAGUUUGCAUCGUGGGGAAACUCGAGAGAGGGAAGAAUGUCUGCAAGAGAAAUAGAUCCCAGGCACACGAUGG